rnacentral:rRNA from 1 species
GACGAACGCUGGCGGCGUGCCUAAUACAUGCAAGUAGAACGCUGAAGCGAGGAGUUUGCUCUUCUUGGAUGAGUUGCGAACGGGUGAGUAACGCGUGGGUAACCUCCCUUGUAGCGGGGGAUAACUAUUGGAAACGAUAGCUAAUACCGCAUAACAAUGGAUUACACUUGUCAUUUAUUUGAAAGGGGCAAUUGCUCCACGACAAGAUGGACCUGCGUUGUAUUAGGUAGUAGGUGAGGUAAUGGCUCACCUAGGCGACGAUACAUAGCCGACCUGAGAGGAUGAUCAGCCACACUGGGACUGAGACACGGCACAGACGCCUACGGGAGGGAGCAGUAGGGAAUCUUCGGAAAUGGGGGCAACGCUGACCGAGCAGCGCCGCGGGAGUGAAGAAGGGUUUCGGAUCGUAAAGGUCGGUUGUAUGUGAAGAACGGGGGUGAGAGUGGAAAGUGCACACUGUGACGGUAGCUGACAAGAAAGGGCCGGCUAACUACGUG